UAGGGAAUCUUCCACAAUGGACGCAAGUCUGAUGGAGCAACGCCGCGUGAGUGAAGAAGGUCUUCGGAUCGUAAAACUCUGUUGUUAGAGAAGAACGUGUGUGAGAGUGGAAAGUUCACACAGUGACGGUAACUUACCAGAAAGGGACGGCUAACUACGUGCUAG
rnacentral:rRNA from 1 species